CUAGUGCCAAAGUACCCGGCAAGAAGCAAACCAAGUGAUCCUGCACGACAAGACAACUCUUACUGCAGAGAAGUUAUGCAUCAAACAGAUUAUCCUAUCCUGAAAUAUGUGCCUCGUCCCAGAGACUAUAAUUCAAAGACUUUCAGAUUCUGAAGGCUAAUUAGCAUGAAGACUGCCAUGGUGGAGUAAGGACACUGAAAGGCUUGCAUGUUCUUGUCUGGACUGGCUCUUCUACAGCCCUGAUGGUACUGUGUCGGGUCUUCAGCCUUGUGUCCCUCUGUGGUGCCUUGAUCUGAAGAUUGGAAGGACCACGACGAACACGAG